rnacentral:rRNA from 1 species
UACGUGGGGUGCGAGCGUUAAUCGGAAUUACUGGGCGUAAAGUGUGCGCAGGCGGCGUCGCAAGUCGAGUGUGAAAGCCCCGAGCUUAACUUGGGAAUUGCGCUCGAAACUACGAUGCUGGAGUGUGGCAGAGGAAGGUGGAAUUCCACGUGUAGCGGUGAAGUGCGUAGAGAUGUGGAGGAACACCGAUGGCGAAGGCAGCCUUCUGGGCCAACACUGACGCUCAUGCACGAAAGCGUGGGGAGCAAACAG